rnacentral:rRNA from 1 species
UACGUAGGGUGCGAGCGUUAAUCGGAAUUACUGGGCGUAAAGCGUGCGCAGGCGGUUUUGUAAGCCAGAUGUGAAAUCCCCGGGCUUAACCUGGGAAUGGCAUUUGGGACUGCAAGGCUUGAGUGCGGCAGAGGAGACUGGAAUUCACGGUGUAGCAGUGAAAUGCGUAGAUAUCGUGAGGAAGACCAGUGGCGAAGGCGGGUCUCUGGACAGUUCCUGACACUGAGGCACGAAGGCCAGGGGAGCAAACGGG